UCUGAUGUGAAAGCCCACGGCUCAACCGUGGAGGGUCAUUGGAAACUGGGGAACUUGAGUGCAGAAGAGAAAAGCGGAAUUCCACGUGUAGCGGUGAAAUGCGUAGAGAUGUGGAGGAACACCAGUGGCGAAGGCGGCUUUUUGGUCUGUAACUGACGCUGAGGCGCGAAAGCGUGGGGAGCAAACAGGAUUAGAUA
rnacentral:rRNA from 1 species